AUUUCUCUCCUUUGUUCUCAAAUCUCUUCCCCUAAUUUCUCUUAUUUCUUCUCCUUCAUUACCACUACAAAAAUUCAUGAUGCCGCUAUCACCACCACUCAUGUCUCAUCUUUUUUUGUGUCCUAUUGUCAUCAACACAACUAAAAGUUUCAAUUAAUCACAUUUAGAUCUGUAAAAGGUUUCAAAACAACGAAAAAGCUUAACUUAUCUCAGUAUAAGCUUCUUCUUCAAUAACAUGAAAGUCAAUAAUAUACUUCACACAUAUUGCAAUGCAUAAAGUGGUGGAAGAGAAAGCUCUCAUGAAUAAAGUGGUGGAAGAGAAAGCUCUCAUGGAAGAAUAAUUCUUAAUUUGAAUUUGUGAUGACCUCAUCAUCUUCAAUGUAAUAGAUGAUGCAGUAGAAAUUGAUUGGAUAUGUUUAUGUGUUGAUCUCUUAAGAGAGAAGAAAGAGAAAAAAGGGUUGA